AUUCCCCUUCCUGCUGUGGGAUCUCUCUUCCCCAUCCCCUUCCUCCUGUGGGAUAUCUCUUCCCCAUCCCCCUUCCUCCAAGAUGCUAUGGUAAAAGAGAUAGAAUUGCGAUCACUAUCUCCAAAAUGCUGUCCCACUGAGAGAUCUGACACCUGACCAGGUUCGUUUCCCAAAACCAGAUCAAGUAAAGCCUCUCCUCUUGUAGGCGUAUGUACAUAUUGCUUCAAGAAACCUUCCUGAACACACUUCACAAACUCCACCCCAUCGACACCCCUCACUCUAGGGAGAUGCUAAUCAAUAGUUGAGAAAUUAAAAUCUCCCACUUCAACAACCCUGUUAUUGUUACUCCUUUCCAGAAUCGGUCUCCCUAUCUGCUCCACGAUGUCCGUGUUACUGUUGGGUGGUCUAUACAACACACCCAGUAGAGUUAUUGACCCCUUCCUGUUCCUAACUUCCACCCACAGAGACUCACUCAGACACAGACAAUCAUUUAUUUUAUUCAUCAUACUCCUUGCAUUAAAAUAGACACAUCUCAAACCAUCGGACUGAGUGUCUCCCUUCUCUAUCACCUGCGUAUCCUCCCUUUCACACUGUCUCCAAAUUCUCUCUAUUUGUGAGCCGACCUUCCUCUCCUCCGUCACAUCAAUUUGGUUCCCUCCCCCCAGCAAUUCUAGUUUAAACUCUCCCCAGUAGCCUUAGCAAACCUUGCUGUCAGGAUAUUAAUAUACGGGAUUCAAGUGCAACCCGUCCUUUCUGUGCAGGUCACACCUGCUCCAAAAGAGGUCCCAAUGAUCCAGAAAUCUGAAUCCCUGCCUCCUGCUCCAAUCCCUCGGCCACGCGUUUAUCCUCCACCUCAUCCCAAUCUUAUUCUCACUGUCACGUGGGACAGACAGUAAUUCCAAGAUCACUACCUUUGAGGUCCUGCUUCUCAAAUUACUUCCGAACACCCUGUACUUUGCUUUCAGGACCUCUUCCCUUUUCCUACCUCUGUUAUUGGUACCAAUAUGUACCACGACCUCUGGCUGUUCUCGCUCACACUGCAUGAUAUCUUGGACGUGAUCAGGAACAUCCCGGACCCUCGCACCUGGGAGGCAAACGACCAUCUGAAUUUCUUUCCUGUGUCCACAGAAUCGUCUGUCUGACCCCCCUAACUAUAAAGUCCCUGAUCUCUGCUGCCUUCCUCUUCCUUUCCCUGUCCUCCUGCCCCUGCACCAUCCGAGUCUCUCUAAUGACCACAACAUCAUAGCUCCAAGAGCUGAUCCACACUCGAAGCUCAUCCGUUUUAUUCAUCAUACCUUGCUGUCCGUAUAUUAAUAUACGGGAUUCAAGUGCAACCCGUCCUUUCUGUGCAGGUCACACCUGCUCCAAAAGAGGUCCCAAUGAUCCAGAAAUCUGAAUCCCUGCCUCCUGCUCCAAUCCCUCGGCCACGCGUUUAUCCUCCGCCUCAUCCUAAUCUUAUUCUCACUGUCACGUGGGACAGACAGUAAUUCCGAGAUCACUACCUUUGAGGUCCUGCUUCUCAAAUUACUUCCUAACUCCCUGUAGUCUGUUUUCAGGACCUCUUCCCUUUUCCUACCAAUGUCUCUGGUACCAAUAUGUACCACGACCUCCAGUUGUUCUCCCUCCCACUGCAGGAUAUCUUGGACGUCAUCAGGAACAUCCUGGCCCUGGAAACUGGGAGGCAAACGACCAUCCGAGUUUCUUUACUGCGUCCACAGAAUCGUCUGUCUGCCCCCCUAACUAUAGUCCCCUAUCUCUGCUGCCAUCCUCUUCCUUUCCCCACCCUCCUGAGCCACAGGGCCAGACGGUGCCAGAGGUGCAGCUGUUGUUGCUCCCUCUCCAGCAGUACUCGAACCGGAGUACUUAUUGUCAAGGGGAACAGCCACUGGGGGAUUCACUAGUACCUGCUUCUUGCCCUUCCCUCUCCUGACUGUGACCCAGUUCCUCGGUCUCCCGUGGCCCCGGUGUGACCACCUGCCUGUAACUCCUCUCUGUCACCUCCUUGCUCUCCCUGACCAGACGAAGGUCAUCGAGCUGCAUCUCCAGUUCCCUAACUCGGUCCCUGAGGAGCUGCAGCUCGACACACCGGGUGCAGAUGUUGCCGUCCGGGAGGCUGGGAGACUCCAGGAUCUCCCACAUCUGACACCGAGCACAGAAACCCAGCCUCACACACAUACUCUCUGUCUGUAUUGUAAACAGAUAACCUACCUCGCCUCGACCCUUUAUCGCCGAAGCCCCGUUGAGCCAAAGCCUUCCUACUCUGUCUCCCGCUCCUCUGACGCUCGCUCUGUAAAUCAGUCUUCCUUUUAAACUCUUCUCGCUGUUCUCACUGGCUGACUUGCACAGUCGUGCUGAAGAAAAAAAUCAGUAAUUGUGUUACUGAUAAACACUGGGGAUUUGUACCGUCUCCUGUCUCUCUGUGUCCUUCACCCUCACUCUCUCUCAUCUCCAGGCUGUGGUAUGUCGGUCUCACAGAUUCUGGUGCCGAGGAUCUCGUCUCCGCUCUCAGUACAAACCCAUCACUGACGGAGCUGGACCUGAGUGGUAAUAAACUGGGAGAUUCAGGAGUGAAACUGGUGUCUGCGGCUCUGAGGAACCCGGAGUGUAAAAUACAGACACUGGGGCUGAACCGUGUCGGUCUCACAGAUUCUGGUGCCGAGGAUCUCGUCUCCGCUCUCAGUGUAAAUCCAUCACUGACGGAGCUGGACCUGGGAUUAAACUCGCUGACAAACCGAUCUGUCCCCGCUCUCCGCCUCCUCAUACUGACCCUCCCAAGUCUGAAGUGGAUCCUGCUGGGGGGGAAUCGGUUCAGUGAGACCGGGAGGAAGGAACUGAGAUCUCUGCAGGAACUCAGACCCGGACUGACAGUGGAUCUGAACAUCUGAAUGUGGUGAAUCGGUUCAGUGAGACCGGGGGGAAGGAACUGAGAUCUCUACAGGAACCCAGACCCGGACUGAGAGUGGAUCUGUGAACAUCUGAAUGUGGUGAAUCGGUUCAGUGAGACCGGGAUGAAGGAACUGAGAUCUCUACAGGAACCCAGACCCGGACUGAGAGUGGAUCUGUGAACAUCUGAAUGUGGUGAAUCGGAUCAGUGAGACCGGGAUGAAGGAACUGAGAUCUCUACAGGAACCCAGA